UUCCACCAGUAAAUAUCUAUUUUGAUAUUAAAUUAUUAAAAAUCAGUCUAAAAUGUCAGUUCCUAUGGCAUUGUGAUGUAUAGAUAUGAAUUUUAAGCAAAGGUCAUAAUCUAGAACGUCAAAUUUACCUAUGACCUUGACCUCAAUUUCAAGGUCACAAACUGAGGAUCUCAAAUCAAAAGACCCUAGGUCUCUAAUAUGUAUGGUUAAUAAGUUAUAUCACUUUACGCAUAAUUUUAGAUAUGAUAGGGGCUAAAACUCCCGUUUAUUGACUACGCACCCUUUCAACCAAAAUUAUUAAGUUACGACAUGUCGCAACUAACAAUUUAGUAAAAAUAAUUUGUCGAUAUCUUAUAAGGUUAAUGAAAAUGAGUGAAAAUAAGCCAAAAUCAAAAAUUUAGAAUAUGACCUUGACCUUUGACCUUGACCUAAUUUUCAUUUUUUUGGCCCAAGGAUCUCAAAUCAAAAGACCCUAGGUCUCUAAUAUGUAUGGUUAAUAAGUUAUAUCACUUUACGCAUUAUUUUAGAUAUGAUAGGGGCUAAAACUCCCAUUUAUUGACUACACACCCUUUCAACCAAAAUUAUUAAGUUACGACAUGUCGCAACUAACAAUUUAGUAAAAAUAAUUUGUUGAUAUCUUAUAAGGUUAAUGAAAAUGAGUGAAAAUAAGCCAAAAUCAAAAUUUAGAAUAUGACCUUGACCUUUGACCUUGACCUAAUUUUCAUUUUUUUGGACCAAGGAUCUCAAAUCAAAAGACCCUAGGUCUCUAAUAUGUAUGGUAAAUAAGUUAUAUCACUUUACGCAUAAUUUUAGAUAUGGGGGCUAAAACUCGUUUAUUGACUACGCUCUUUCAACCAAAAUUAUUAAGUGACAUGUCACAACUAACAAUUUAGUAAAAAUAAUUUGUUGAUAUCUGAUAAGGUUAAUGAAAAUUAGUGAAAAUAAGCCAAAAUCAAAUUUAAAAUAUGACCUUGACUUGACCUUGACCUAAUUUUCAUUUUUUUGGCCCAAGGAUCUCAAAUCAAAAGACCCUAGGUCUCUAAUAUGUAUGGUUAAUAAGUUAUAUCACUUUACGCAUUAUUUUAGAUAUGAUAGGGGCUAAAACUCCCAUUUAUUGACUACGCACCCUUUCAACCAAAAUUAUUAAGUUACGACAUGUCGCAACUAACAAUUUAGUAAAAAUAAUUGUCGAUAUCUUAUAAGGUUAAUGAAAAUGAGUGAAAAUAAGCAAAAAUCAAAAAUUAGAAUAUGACCUUGAGCUUUGACCUUGACCUAAUUUUCAAUUUUUUGGACCAAGGAUCUCAAAUCAAAAGACCCUAGGUCUCUAUCACUUAUGGUUUUCCAGUUUAAAAUACAUUUCAAAAUUUCAAAUACAAAAGGGGAAAUAACUCUCAUAUGGAAUCUCGAUACGGCUUCGGUCAAAAUAAAACAGAACAUCCUGAGGAUAUAACGAGCAAUUUGGAAAAAUAAAUUUGUCGGUUUCUUAUACGGUUGCGAAGCCUUAGUGAUAACAAAAUAACAGUGUUCAGGGAGAUAACUCUUAUAUGGGAAAGUAUUCGGUUAAGCAGAGUUGGUUUCAAAAGCGUAUAAACUGUUCGAUAUCAUAUUCCAAAUAUCAAAGCGACAUCUUGCGAAACAAAAAAACAGCGAAGGAAAAAAAUUAGGCGGAAGAAAAAAAAAAAUAAAAUAAUAAUCAGAAG
rnacentral:lncRNA from 1 species